rnacentral:rRNA from 1 species
CAAUAGCGUAUAUUAAAGUUGUUGCAGUUAAAAAGCUCGUAGUUGGAUUUGUGGCGUACGGUGUGUUCCGGGCACUUGUUGUCUGAGUAACCUGCUGUUGCCAUCCUUGGGUGGAACCUGUGUGGCAUUAGGUUGUCGUGCAGGGGAUGCCCAUCAUUUACUGUGAAAAAAUUAGAGUGUUCAAAGCAGGCUUAUGCCGUUGAAUAUAUUAGCAUGGAAUAAUGAGAUAGGACUUUUUUGCUAUUUUGAUGGUUUGCGCAAGAAGGUAAUGAUUAAUAGGGACAGUUGGGGGUAUUCGUAUUCCAUUGUCAGAGGUGAAAUUCUUGGAUUUUUGGAAGACGAACUACUGCGAAAGCAUUUACCAAGGAUGUUUUCAUUAA